rnacentral:rRNA from 1 species
UCGACCUGAUAUCAAGGGAGGCUACCCGCCGAAUUUAAGCAUAUUAAUAAGCGGAGGAAAAGAAAACAACUGUGAUUCCCUUAGUAAUGGCGAAUGAAACGGGAAAAGCCCAUCGCUGAACUACUGACCAUCCUGGUCACGUGGAAUGUAGCGUUUGGAAGGGUCUCUUUCCAAGGCUCAGACACCAGUCAAAGUCCAACUUGACAGUGGCCACAGCCCACAGAGGGUGAUAGGCCCGUAAGGCGGUGUUUCUGGCUUUGCUGACCUCUUCCUCGAGUCGGAUUGCUUGAGAGUGCAGUCCAAAGUGCGAGGUAAACUCCUCGUAAGGCUAAAUAUGACCCCAAGACCGAUAGCAAACAAGUACAGUGAUGGAAAUUUGAAAAGAACUUUGAAGAGAGAGUUAAGAGUACGUGAAACUGUAUGGUGGUAAACGGAGCCUUCCUCGAAGUUCUCCGGGUGGACCCAACCUAGGGAUGAGGCAGCCCUGGGCAUCAGAUCAGCAAUGACUGGUGUCUGGGCGUUUGCUUUGUUCAAGGGUGCAUCUCCAUCCGGUGUUACGGUAGGAACUCUUGAGACGGGACCGAAGGCCUGGGAUGAAGUUUUCGCUUCGGCGUCAGCUCCCGGUGUCCUGGCUCCUGGCUCGAGAGGCUUUUGACUGGCUUGUACAGCAAGCAACCCUUCUGUUGCG